rnacentral:rRNA from 1 species
GACAGAGGCCUCAAGCGUUAGGCGGAAUCACUGGGCUUAAAGCGUGUGUAGGCGGGUUGGUAAGUCCGCUGUGAAAGCCCGGAGCUCAACUCCGGAGGGUCGGUGGAUACUGCCAGUCUUGAAGGUGCUAGGGGGAGAUGGAAUUACCGGUGUAGCGGUGAAAUGCGUAGAGAUCGGUAGGAACACCAGUGGCGAAGGCGGUCUCCUGGGGCAUUCUUGACGCUGAUGCGCGAAAGCUGGGGGAGCGAACGGG